AUACAAAUACAAAUACAACUUCAAAUUCAAAAUAAAUAAAUAAAAAUUACAUUAAUUAAUUUAAAAGUUACAAGAAACAGUCCCUAAAAUUCUAAAAAUUUCGAGGGACUUCUGCAGCGGGAACAGUGUUCGUCAUGGUUUCUGGGCUCGGUAACAGUGCGGCGCGUGGACCUCACGCACCACCGCCACUGGCGGCGCGUUGGUCCACGCGCCGCCGUGAAAACAACCGAAAAUGGGGGGGGCUGUAAUGGCUUAUUCCUCUCUUCAAUCCCCUACUGUCCGUCACCUGCAAAUCUCAAACAAAACCCCACAUCCAGUCGAUUUUAAUUUUUUCUUUACUUUUCAGAUCUGAUUAUCCCUUCCUCUCUUUUUUUUGGUGCGUUUUCCUCUGCUGGUGACAGAUCCAGCUUCUGUGGCCGCUGUUGGGCAGUUUUGGCGGCGGGGAUGCUGCUGCGGUGGAGAUGUUUCCUCGGUGGUGAGCAGAUCGGGUCCAUGGGGAGGAGCUGCUGCGGUUGGCGGACGACGUUGAUGGUCCAGAGGAGGAGGAGACACUGCUGAGAAGGGGAGAUUCUGUUGCUGGGUCUGUGGCCGUUGGUCUUUUUCAGGUGAGAGAGGGCAGAUUUGUGGCUUGGGGAAACGGAGUGGCUGCUCCGGUUAGGUUUUGAAAGAGAGGGGGGGCUGUCGGUUUGCUGCUGGCUAAAAAAAAAAGGCCAGGGGUGGCUCUGUUUCUCUGGUUUCGGCUGGAGAAGGAGCGGUUGCUUUGGUUGGUGAAGAGAGGAGAUCGGAGAGGAGAGGGAGAGUGUAGGUGGCGGCUGGUUUGUUUGGCUGAGGGCGAGGGAGAGUGGGAGGAGAUGGUGAGGCGGCUGUGGCUGUUCCGGUUAGAGGGGUGUGUGUCCACGGCUGGGAAGGAAAAAAACGAGGGAGGGGCUGCUGUGAUGCCGGUGACAAAGCUGGCAGCCGAGUGAGGGAGAGAAGAAAAUUAAAACCGGGGGGGGGUUUCUGUGAGAAGAAGAAA
rnacentral:lncRNA from 1 species